GUGCAGCAGUCGCGAAAACUCCUCAAUGCACGAAAGUGUGACGGGGCUACCCCGAGUGCCGUCCGCUGAGGAUGGCUUUUCCUCGGUGUAACUAGCCGGGGGAAUAAGGGGAGGGCAAGACUGGUGUCAGCCGCCGCGGUAAUACCAGCUCUCCGAGUGGUAGGGGUGAUUAUUGGGCUUAAAGCGUCCGUAGCCGGCUUAGCAAGUCUCCUGUUAAAUUCAGCGACCUAAUCGUUGAGCCGCGGGAGAUACUACUAGGCUAGGAGGCGGGAGAGGCCGACGGUACUUCCGGGGUAGGGGUGAAAUCCUAUAAUCCCGGGCGGACCACCAGUGGCGAAGGCUGUCGGCUAGAACGCGCUCGACGUUGAGGGACGAAAGCUGGGGGAGUGAACCGGAUUAGAUACCCGUGUAGUCC
rnacentral:rRNA from 1 species